AGGGAGUAUGAGUGGUACAUCCUGGUUUCUGUUACCUAAUGCUAGGAACCUUGGCAUGGGAAGAAAGCUAUGGACAUUAGAGACGACUAGAUGAGCAGAUGGGGUUGGAGAAUCCUAGUCAAUAGGAAAGAGAUAGGAAGUAGGGCCAAUAAAGAAAACGGGUAGGCUGAUUCAUUCAAAGCAGGUGAGGGACGAGAGGCGUUUGAUAUUUCUUGUUCCUGUGGAGAGCAACUUGUUGACCAAUGGAUGUGUGUGUGGUUCUCCGGUUCCAGGCCGCCACCAAUAGAACACCUGGCAGGUGCUGGUUGGGUGGAUUUGGAGAAUCAUCAAAUGGACCGCAAGGAGUAUUAAUUCUGGGCCAUCAACUGAAGCCCAUCAAUUUUUAACUGGACCUGGUAAAGGGGGCCUGGCGACCUAGCGUCGCUUCAGGUUGGGGCAACCUUAACCGGGUGUCCAGAAAUCAGAAGCGGUGUUUUCGGUCUUCAGCGAAGUGUAAACAUGGAGACCUUCUGAGCGCCAUGGUCCCAAGUAGAUGGAUGCUCACGGAAUUCACAUUCCUUGGUCCUUGUUGGGAAAGACAGAUUUCCUCAAAAGAAUAAAAUUCAAAGGCCUCGGCCCUUAAUUGUUGGGAAGGAAACUUCCAUAUCACUUACAGGAUUCCCUCGAUAGAAAUUAGAAUCGUCUUGUGCCAUGGCCAUGCAACACCCCCUCCCAUGCAUGAUACGUUUCUAGACUGGUUUGUGACAUGAACCUGCAACACUUUUUUGACCAUCCUAAACUCAUUCAUGGAAAUGCUAUUAUGCUUUUUCUCAUCAAUGCCCUAACCUUCGUCCACUUUCAUGUCAUGCGUACCGUUUAGCCAACUUUAUUGCUGGGGGUGCUAGGGGAAAGGAUUGCAUGCAAAAGCCUGCUUCUUGAUUUAGAGCAACGUACUUGGCACAGUCCAUGGCCCAAAUUGGAAAUUGAUUAGACUAUAACUUAGCCCAUGUUACCUGGGUGUUUUGUUAGGCAAGGUCAACUGUGAUAUACAAUCUAGAAUAUAAUUUCUCUAAUGCCUUAUCCCUAACCUAGCACCUAGGCUGAUUCAAAGUCAUAUUUGCAU
rnacentral:lncRNA from 1 species